AACCCCUUCGAAGGGAAUCCUCCGAUGAAGUUGGAACGAUACAGAGAAGAUUAGCAUGGCCGCUGCGCAAGGACGACACGUGCAAAUCGAAAAGCGUGUCAAAACCCU
rnacentral:snRNA from 1 species